UGCCUUCAAACACUCUCUUGUUAUGGUUGUUCGAAGAUGAAGAGUUUUCCGGAAAUCAAGGGUAAUAUGGGAAGUCUAAGAGAACUUGAUUUAAGUGAAACAGAUAUAAUAGAAGUACCAUCAUCAAUCAGGCAUCUACAUGGGCUUAAAACCUUGAAGUUAAGUGAUUGCUUAAACCUUGUGAGUCUUCAGGUCGGUAUUUGUAGUUUGAGCUCUCUUCAAACUCUUUUGAUGGAUGGGAGUUUAGAACUAAAGGCCUUUCUAGAUAUCAAUAUUGGAAGUCUAAAAGCCCUUGAAUGGUUAGAUUUGUCAUAUUGCGAAAACCUUGAGAGUCUUCCGGAUAGUAUUUGUAGUUUGACCUCUCUUCAAACUCUUUUGCUGAAUGGGUGUUCAAAACUGAAAGCCUUUCCAUACAUCAAUAUUGGAAGCCUCAAAGCUCUUGAAUUGUUAGCUUUGUCAUAUUGCGAAAACCUUGAGAGUCUUCCGGACAGUAUUUGUAAUUUGACAUCUCUUCAAACUCUCAUGUUAAAAGAGUGUUCAAAAUUGAAGGGCUUUCCAGAUAUCAAUAUUGGAAGUCUAAAAGCUCUUAAAUUGUUAGAUUUGUCAUAUUGCGAAAACCUGACAGUAUUUGUAGUUUGACCUCUCUUCAAACUCUUUUGCUGAAUGGGUGUUCAAAAUUGAAGGCUUUUCCGGAUAUUAAUAUUGCAAAUCUAAAAGCUCUUGAAUUGUUAGAUUUUUCAUAUUGUGAAAACUUUGGGAGUCUUCCAGAUAGGAUUUGUAGCUUAACCUCUCUUCAAACUCUUUUGUUGAAAAAGUGUUCAAAAUUGAAGGCCUUUCCAGAUAUCAAUAUUGGAAGUCUAAAAGCUCUUAAAUUGUUAGAUUUGUCAUAUUGCGAAAACCUUAAGAGUCUUCCAGACAGUAUUUGUAGUUUGACCUCUCUUCAAACUCUUUUUUUGAAUGGGUGUUCAAAAUUGAAGGCCUUUCCAGAUAUCAAUAUUGGAAGUCUAAAAGCUCUUGAAUUGUUAGAUUUGUCAUAUUGCAAAAACCUUGAGAGUCUUCCGCAUAGUAUUUGUAGUUUGACCUCUCUCCAAACACUUUUGUUGAAUGGGUGUUCAAAACUGAAGGCCUUUCCAGAUAUCAAUAUUGGAAGUCUAAAAGCUCUUAAAUUGUUAGAUUUGUCUUAUUGCAUAUACCUUGAGAGUCUUCCGCACAGUAUUUGUAGUUUGACCUCUCUUCAAACUCUUUUGUUGAAUGGGUGUUCAAAAUUGAAGGCCUUUCCAUGUAUCAAUAUUGGAAGUCUAAAAGCUCUUAAAUUGUUAAAUUUGUCAUAUUGCGAAAACCUUGAGAGUCUUCCGGAUAGUAUUUGUAAUUUGACCUCUCUUCAAACUCUUUUGCUGAAUGGGUGUUCAAAACUGAAGGCCUUUCCAGAUAUCAAUAUUGGAUGUCUAAAAGCCCUUGAAUUGUUAGACUUCUCAUAUUGCAAAAACCUUGAGAGUCUUCCGCACAGUAUUUGUAGUUUGACCUCUCUUCAAACUCUUUUGCUGAAUGGGUGUUCAAAACUAAAGGCUUUUCCAGAUAUCAAUGUUGGAAGUCUAAAAGUUCUAGAAUUGUUAGAUUUGUCAUAUUGCGAAAGCCUUGAGAGUUUUCCGGACAGUAUUUGUAGUUUGACCUCUCUUCAAACUCUUUGGCUGAAUGGGUGUUCAAAACUGAAGGUCUUUCCAGAUGUCAAUAUUGGAAGUCUAAAAGCUCUUGAAUUGUUAGAUUUGUCAUGUUGUAAAAAGCUUGAGAGUCUUCCGAUGAGCAUUUGCAAUUUGAGCUCUCUCAAAACUCUGCGGAUUAAAGAUUGUCCAAAACUCAAGGGAAUAUUAAAGAUGAACCUAGGGGUUGAUUUAUGCUCCUCGAGAUCUUUGAAUCUGACUUGUCACAUUUCAAAUUCAGGAGUAAUCUGGGAUAAUGACUGCUUUUCCUCAUUAAAAGCAUUAAAUCCAUGGUGCCCCCUGUCAUCACUGGUAGAAUUAUCUGUAAGAAACUCUAAUCUCAUGGAACGAGACAUCCUCAGUGCUAGUUUUCGCUUAUCCUCAAUGCAAAUAUUAUCUCUAAGGAACUUCCCUUUGAUGGUAGGAGGAAUCCUUGAUGACAUUUUCCAUCUAUCUUCAUUGGUAGAAUUAUCUCUUAGUGAAUGCAAUCUGAUGGAAGUAGGAACCCUCCAUUAUGUUUGGAACCUAUCUUCACUGCUAAGAUUAUAUCUAAGAAACUGUAAUCUAAUGGAAGGAGAGAUCCCCAAUCAUAUUUGGCACCUAUCAUCAUUG
rnacentral:lncRNA from 1 species